rnacentral:rRNA from 1 species
AGCAGCCGCGGUAAUUCCAGCUCCAAUAGCGUAUAUUAAAGUUGUUGCAGUUAAAAAGCUCGUAGUUGAAUUUCGGGAUCAAUAUGUUGGUCGUGCCUUGGUACGUACUGGCAUUAUUGGUUUCUACCUUCUGAAGAACCUCGAUGUCAUUAAUUUGGUGUCUUGGGGAAUCAGGACUGUUACUUUGAAAAAAUUAGAGUGUUUAAAGCAGGCUCGCGCUUGAAUACAUUAGCAUGGAAUAAUGAAAUAGGACGUUUGAUUCUAUUUUGUUGGUUUCUAGGAUCGACGUAAUGAUUAAUAGGGAUAGUUGGGGGCAUUAGUAUUCAAUUGUCAGAGGUGAAAUUCUUGGAUUUAUUGAAGACUAACUACUGCGAAAGCAUUUGCCAAGGAUGUUUUCAUUAAUCAAGAACGAAAGUUAGGGGAUCGAAGACGAUCAGAUACCGUCGUAGUCUUAACCAUAAACUAUGCCGACUAGGGAUCGGAUGAUGUUAAUUUUUAAUGUACUCAUUCGGCGCCUUAA